rnacentral:rRNA from 1 species
UACGUAGGGGGCGAGCGUUGUCCGGAUUUAUUGGGCGUAAAGAGCGUGUAGGCGGUUCGGUAAGUCUGUCGUGAAAUCCCGAGGCUCAACCUCGGGCGUGCGAUGGAUACUGCCGGGCUAGAGGGUGGUAGAGGCGAGUGGAAUUCCCGGUGUAGCGGUGAAAUGCGCAGAUAUCGGGAGGAACACCAGUAGCGAAGGCGGCUCGCUGGGCCGCACCUGACGCUGAGACGCGAAAGCUAGGGGAGCGAACAGG